CAUCAAGAGACGCCUUUUGUGAGUGAUUUGGGGCGGCGUCCUCCUCAGGGAGAAUCCAACAGAACCUCAAAGUAGGGAGGGGUUUGCAUGUUCCAGUUGCUUCAGUGAUAACUGGACUGCUGCCAUUCCAACACUUUCUUUAGCAGCCUGCCAGAAAAGUCUCAUUGCUUUGGGAAAUUCUCAGAACAUAAUCUCACUCCAUCCAAUGCUCCAUGGCUUCCCUGAAUUCAUGGGUGGUAGGCAUAUAAUUCCCAUGUAUUGCAGAUAAAGCAGACAUUGGAUACUGGGAAUCCCUGGAGGUGGCAAGAAAUUCGCCCUAUGCUGAGCAGGAGUUUAAUGGAUUUCCUUUUCUUUGUUCUUCUUUGCUCUCUACUGCAUGCAUGGCUGCUGGCAUUUGCUACUUCUCUUGUUUUAAUGAAUUUCUUUCUUGCUGGCACUUGUUUGACCUGAUUGUGAAUUCUUUCCCCAUCAGAGUCAAGAGUCCUCCCCCAUCCAGGCUGAGGUUUCACAGUGCACAGGGAAAGAUAUCCCCAGAUGCAGCUGCCUGGCAGCAAUUCCAGGAUUGUCAUAAAAUGUACCCCAAGGAACAGAAUACUAACUUUUCCCCCUUUUGCUCUGUACUCUCCAGCCUUUUCUCAGUAGGGUGGGGCUUCCUGUCAUGAGUGUCAGGCCUGAGCAGGGUUUGUUGUAUGAGGCUGAUUGGUUGCAGAACAGGAACAGUUGCAGAAGAAAGACAUGAUACUCACCAUACCAGGGUUUAGUUAAAUGUAUCUUAUGGUGAAAAUGUCCUCAGCAACAAGGCAAAGCAUCAUGAAGAGGUGGCUGGUCGCUGUGCUGGCACUUUUGUGCACCCAGGCUUGCUGUGUGAGUGGGGUAGAGGUGGAGCAGAGUCCCCCAGCCCAGAGUCUCCAGGAAGGAGCCACUUCCAUGCUGCAGUGCAAUUUUUCCACCUCUGUGAACAGCGUGCAAUGGUUUCACCAAAAUCCUGGGGGCCACCUCGUUCAUCUGUUUUACAUUCCUUCAGGGACAAAGCAGGAUGGAAGACUUAACUCUACUACAGUCUCUAGAGAACGCCGCAGCUCCUUGUACAUUUCCUCUUCACAGACCACAGACUCAGGCAUUUAUUUCUGUGCUGUGGGAGGCACAGUUCUUCCCAGGCACCUGCAGCCUGUAUACAAACCCUCAGCUAGGCUCAGCAUCUCCUCUAGCCACAGCCACAUCAUGAGGCUGAGACAGGGACCAUGGAUGUAGUCAGAGUAGAGUGAGGCCUCUGGAGGGGGCAGGGUGGGAUAUUUGCAGUCAGAG